rnacentral:rRNA from 1 species
AUUGAACGCUGGCGGCAGGCCUAACACAUGCAAGUCGAGCGGAGCGGCGGACGGGUGAGUAAUGCCUAGGAAUCUGCCUGGUAGUGGGGGAUAACGUCCGGAAACGGGCGCUAAUACCGCAUACUAUCAGAUGAGCCUAGGUCGGAUUAGCUAGUUGGUGGGGUAAAGGCCUACCAAGUCGACGAUCUGUAACUGGUCUGAGAGGAUGAUCAGUCAAACUGGAAGUGAGACACGGUCCAGACUCCGACGGGAGGCAGCAGUGGGGAAUAUUGGACAAUGGGCGAAAGCCUGAUCCAGCCAGGCCGCGUGUGUGAAGAAGGUCUUCGGAUUGUAAAGCACUUUAAGUUGGGAGGCGUUACCAGCAGAAGAAGCACCGGCUAACUCCGUGCCAGCAGCCGCGGUAAUAC